rnacentral:pre_miRNA from 1 species
UUUAUUGCCGAUGCAGCAUCAUCAAGAUUCUCAUCACCAGGGUUUUGGCCCCAGAAAAAAACCAAACAUCCAGAGAAAGAAAGGUAGAUAGAUAGAGAUAGAACUGAUAUAAAAAGCUAACCGCCUUGCCUUUGCAUGUGAAUCUUGAUGGUGCUGCACCAGCAAAAAA